AAGAGUCUCUAGUGUUUGAUCAGAGAACGUCGUUCUCGUAAUAGGGAACGAGAUUGUAGCCGCAAAGGGGUGUCAACCUUAAGGGUGAGAGCAACUGCUAACACCCCCUUUUGCUCGCAACACUUCUUUAGCUCUAUGAUGGACCGAAUUCGUCAAGUGCGGGAUUUGUGAGCUACUGUUUCAAAUUGUUUGUCCGAGUGGAUGAUCGAUUCCAUUGCUAGAGUUUAACAAGUGACUGGAAUGAAGGCAGGCGCAGGUCGUCUUGGUGCUGUUUUGGUCGAUUCUGUUGAUUGUACACCAAUGCGUCGCAGAGCUUGUUUCCGUUAUGGAUUGGAUAGUUUUUCGUGAGCAGCAUCGAGAACUGGUGAGGCCAGUGCGAACGUCGCCCAGUCGCCAGGAUGGUCGGCACUCUUCUAGUUCGGCGGCAACCUCGUCAGCAGAGACUUCUUCGGAUCUUGUGAGUUGUUACUAUGCGGUGCGGAUGGGAAGACGAACUGGAAUUUUUACUUCUUUAUCAAAGUGUAGGCGCAAAGUGGUUGGAUACCGUGGCGCUUAGUAUAAGAGCUUUAGGAGUAGAGAGGAGGCAUGUGACUAUCUAGGUUCUAGAACGUAGGAUCUGGUGUCAUCUAUGUAGUAAUUUGAGAGUAGGUUUGUAUUUCAUCAAGGGUUCUAAAGCUGAUUUUGUUUUUGCAUUUUUCAAACUUAGCUCUUCCAAGAGCUUUUGUUAAUAUAUCCGCAAUUUGAUCGGCAGAAGUUUUGAAUUGUACCUGGAUUGUGCCUUCUUCCACUUUCUGUUGUGUGAAAUGCAGAUCUAUUUCAAAAUGUUUUUUUCUGUCAUGGAAGACUGGGUUUUUUGUUACUUAGAUAGAGCUCUGGUUAUCACACCAAAUAGUUGUGGGUGUGUCAUCUCUGAAUCCAAGUUCGUAUAUCAGUCAACGUAGCCAAAUUGAAUCCAAGUUCGUAUAUCAAUCAACGUAGCCAAAUUGCUUCACAGGUGGCUUUGGCUAGUGCCCUAUAUUUGGACUCACAUGAGGAUCGUGAUGUGAUGUUGUGUUUUUUUAACUGCACCACGAGAUUGGGGAGCUGCCGCAAAGAAAGAUGAAUGCUCCGGUGGACGUGUGGUCAUUUGGAUUACCAGCGUAAUCGGCAUCAGAGUAUCCCGAGAGGAGUAGUUCCUUCUCUUUCCAGAUCGAGGGAUGGGGCAAAAGGUACCAUAGAAAGUCAAGUGUUGCCUGGAGAUGUACCUGCUGGGGUCGAUGCAUGUAGCGGCUUACUACCGAGACUGCGAACCCGACGUCCCAUCGGGACUUGAGCAAAUAAUUCAGUUCGCCGACCAAGCGUUGGAAGAGCCAGAGAUCGACCGUUGAGAAAUGCGGUUGAUACGUCCAUGUGAUGGACGAGCCAACCAUGAUGAGCAUAGAGAGCUGUGACCGUGCGAAUCGACUCCAAGCGGACGGUAGGGGCAAACGUUUCUUGGUAGUCAAUUCCAUGGACGUGCUUUGUAUCGGGCAAUUUCUCCAUGUGUAUCGGGUUUUAAUUUAUAAACCCAGCGGGCCGUAAUGGGGCGGAUGCUGCUAGGUGGAGGGACAAGGUCCCACGUAUGAUUAGCUACGAUAGCGGUAUAUUCUUUCAUCAUCGCUUGAGCCCAUCGGGGAUUGCCGGCAGCCUGGGUGUAUGAGAGGGGCUUGCCACCCUCUUUAAUUACGCCGACGAAGGUUUCGGUGAGAUGAAGAGGAAUGUAGUCAAUGUGAAAUGCUGGGGGGUGGCGAGGCCGAUCAAAGUCGCGGGGGGGGGUCACAGGCUGUGGAUGAAGAGGAAGAUAGGGAGUUGAGGGAGUCCGACGAUGCAGUCGGGACGAGAGCCAUGCGCAGAUCCAGCGGAGCGAGAAGAGGUGCGGGACUCGGUGUCCGACUUUGAGGAUGUGGAAUACCAAAAAAGAAUACUUGCUGGGAUGGAGGGAGAAGAGCAGGGGCCGCGCGUGGUGUGGAUUCGUCGAGAGAGCGAAUAUCUUUGGAAACGAUGACUCGGCGGGUAGAUGGGUCAAAACAGCGAGCACCCUCGGUGUGGUCAUCGGGACCUUGAUAAAUGCAUUUUUGUGAUCGACAGGCUAGUUCAUGGCGGGUCGGGGUAGUAUCGACUACAAAGACAGAGAGCGGCUGCGAUCGGUUGUGAGUGUGCGGCAUAGUGGUUUGGUGACGUCGACGGUUGAGCUGCAGGCCGUCGAAAAGUGUGAUCGAGAAUCUUGGUGUUGGUGACGGUGUCGCCGGAUUACGUCAUCUCCGUUUACUUCUAUUCGGGUGCCAGAUUGAAUACAUUGAGUUGACUUCCGCUCGUGAGUACGUGGAUGUAGUGCUACUAGGAGAGCGGUAUUUUUGCAGCUACUCGACCUAGUCAUCGGUACUUCAUCCGCGGCUGUUGCAACUGGUCGAAGGACAGGGCGUAGUCAUUGUUCCAAGGAUCAUGCAAAGCUGGAGUCUGCGUUAUGGAGCUGUUUCAAAAGCGUCCUGGAGCGAUUGACGUUGCGGUGUUCUAGUGUGGACUGAUGCGUGUCGAUUGCAGUGUUAGAUCUGGUUUUGCUGUGGCGUAAAUUAUCAUUCAGCAGCGGGGCGGUAUUCGAGUCCUUCCGCCCCUAGUGUCAACGUGCAAGGCUUCCAUUCCAGCGUGGGAAGCUACGGUCGGGCUGAGCCAUUCAUCGUCGACGUGAUCCGGCGCACUUGCAGCGCCGUCGAUUUCAGCCGGUGAUUGAUUUGAUUCGACUUUUACUCGUGUUCUUUUUAUUUGGUGUUGCAAAGCUCGACCUCGACUCGUCUUGGCACUAGAGCGGCUAGUGAAUCAAGUGUUGUGUUUUUUUCCUCGAUGCGAAUUUGGUAUUGCCGUGGUGGCGUUGUAUUGGAUACCAGAGGCAUUGGAUCCAAUUCAUCUAUUCUAUUGAAUUGUGAUCUAUAUUCUUGAGGAGCUAGUGGGUCGUUUUUUCCCACAAUUACAAGAGGGAGUUGGCCGACUUUCCUUCAAUCGCGGCAAUUAAACAGAGAUUGGCAAGUUCCAAGUUGUUAAGUGGACCAGUCUGCAAGCGGCGAUCUUGCGUUGCUUUUUGGUUUUCUUCCAAGCUGUUGUGGAAGGAAUUCAGAUUGGUGGCGGCCGAUGUUCCAGCUAUUGGGUUGAUGAUUCUUUGCUCCUUGCAUUGAGCAAGCAGUAACUAUUACUGCCAAAUUAAUCAAGAGGCUGGUUCCCACAUCGAGCAAGUGCGGUUCGGUCUAGUGGUCAAAAAGCUCGCUAGUAGUGAAUGUUGAGUAUAGACGCAUUUAUAUUUUAUCACACAGCUUGGAAGUGUAUCUGAGUUGCACGACCAGCCCAUAGGACUAAUAACUGUGUGGAAUUAGACAACAAAGUAAACCGUAUUGUAAUUUCUUAAUCAUGCUCUCUCUUGUGCCAAGGCCAAGACUGGCUGGAGCGUGUUGGAUCAAUGUGAUACCAUUCUAAUAAAUUAAUUUUUUAGUC